ensembl:lncRNA
GCAGCCUAUAUAAGUCUCGUGAGAUCUCCUCCCCUUGGUUUACUGUCACAGCCGGAUCUGCGGCGGUGUCUCGCCCGGUCUCCCGCCCGGUCUCCGGUCCCAGGCUCGGGGAGCAUGUCGUCUCUCUGCCGCCCUGCCGCCACAUCUGGCUUUAAUCCUCCCCGGCGUGUGCAGAGGCAGCUCAGACUGCCAACAAAAGGCCCCGGGAGCCCUCGGCCUCCGCCUUGGCGCGCGACCCGACCACCCCGGACUGCCCCAGCCCGGCCCCUUCCCCCAGCUGCAGGUCCCGUGCCCUGGACAUCCUGCCUGGGUAGCAGUCCUGGUGACAGGUCCCGGCAGCGGCUCCCGCCCUAAUCCGACGGUGGAGUCCGAGGCCCCGCGGUUCCGGGCACCUCACUUUCUCUCACCGUCGCGACAUCCCUAGCGAUAGGCGUCGUUAUCCCCAGUUUAAUUUACCAAUGAGGAGACCGGGACUCAGGGAGAAGGACUGGCUUAAGCAGCUAGAAAGAAGAGCUGUAACUAGGAUUUAAAUACAGUUUGAGUGCUAAAGACUCUGAUUUUUCCACUACAUCACGCUGUCCUGCCCCUUUCUCCUGAGCCCCAUGUCCUUAAUUAUCACCAUUUCAUAAGGUUUGAGGUUAACUUCAGCACCAAAUAGAUAAUCAUCUAGAGAAAACCUGCGGUGUCUGCCCCUGUUUUUCUUAGUAUCCAUAUGUACUAUGACUUGCGUUAAUAGAAACUACCAUAGGGUACAUCAUUUUUUGGGUACUUACCAUAUGCCAGGCAAGGUGCUAAGAUUUUAACUGCAUCAUCUCAUUUAAUUCCCAUUUUUCAUGAGGAAACUGGAGCUCAAAGAGGUUAGAGAAUUUGCCGAAAGUCACACAGCAGGCCUUUGAAACGUGCAGUCUCAUCCAGUAUCACGGCAGAAGCAGAAAGACAGAAGAUGGAGCAAGCAGAAGCCAUGAGCACAGAGGAAGCCAAAAGCACUAGAAGAGAGGGCGAUAUUCAGAAAUACUGGGGAGUUAGACUCUGAAACUUCUAGCAAGAUGUGGAUUUGGCACCGCGGGCUUAUAAUGAAAAAAUAUAAGAACUGCUCCCAGCUAAUGGAAAAAUAAAUUGGAAUUGUAUUGGAAAAGUACCCAAAAGAACUUGCCUCAAAUGAGAAUUGAGUUUUUAUUAGAAAAAUCGGAUAAGAGUAAAAAAAAAAAGAAUUUUCCCUCCAAUCAUCAAAUGGUCCUUGUAAUUUAUUGUUUUACUGCCCUCCUAUAAAGAAACACUACACUUUAGUGUCUGUCAAAUGCUUUUGUAAUUAUGAAAGUAGUGUCAGCCCAGCAACCUGAAAUAAUUUCUCCUUUCGAGUGAAAGCUUCAAGCUUGCAGUGAAAGUACCUGCGCCAAUUUCUUCACCUUCUAAGCACUAAAGGAAAAGUCAUCAUCUUGGCCUCCACAGAGAACAACAAAUAUUUAUGAAACUUCUUCCUCGUGGAUUUUAGCAUUUGCCUUGGUUGCUGUUUGACCAUAUAUCCUCUUUCUUUCCUGUUCGACAAACGUUUACUGAGUACUUCCUGUUUUCUGGGCACCAAGCGGCAUGCAGCACACACAACUGAACACGGCUCUUCCAUUUUUCUGGAGCGCAGGGUAAUGGCAGGAAUAUAGCAAGAAAAGAGGUUGCACAGAGAGAUUGGGG